rnacentral:rRNA from 1 species
GAUGAACGCUGGCGGCGUGCCUAAUACAUGCAAGUCGAGCGAACAGACGAGGAGCUUGCUCCUCUGACGUUAGCGGCGGACGGGUGAGUAACACGUGGAUAACCUACCUAUAAGACUGGGAUAACUUCGGGAAACCGGAGCUAAUACCGGAUAAUAUAUUGAACCGCAUGGUUCAAUAGGGAAAGACGGUUUUGCGGUCACUUAUAGAUGGAUCCGCGCCGCAUUAGCUAGUUGGUAAGGUAACGGCUUACCAAGGCAACGAUGCGUAGCCGACCUGAGAGGGUGAUCGGCCACACUGGAACUGAGACACGGUCCAGACUCCUACGGGAGGCAGCAGUAGGGAAUCUUCCGCAAUGGGCGAAAGCCUGACGGAGCAACGCCGCGUGAGUGAUGAAGGUCUUCGGAUCGUAAAACUCUGUUAUUAGGGAAGAACAAAUGUGUAAGUAACUAUGCACGUCUUGACGGUACCUAAUCAGAAAGCCACGGCUAACUACGUG